rnacentral:rRNA from 1 species
GACGGAGGAUGCAAGCGUUAUCCGGAAUGAUUGGGCGUAAAGCGUCCGCAGGUGGCAGUUCAAGUCUGCUGUCAAAGACCGGGGCUUAACUUCGGAAAGGCAGUGGAAACUGAACAGCUAGAGUAUGGUAGGGGCAGAGGGAAUUCCUGGUGUAGCGGUGAAAUGCGUAGAGAUCAGGAAGAACAUCGGUGGCGAAGGCGCUCUGCUGGACCAUAACU